CCAGCCGCUCGUAGGACGACGGCCGGUCAUCGACCAGCAGAAUGCGCCCGCCCUUGCCCGUAUCCGCAACCGCGUCGCGUUCCGGCGCAUUGACGCCAAUCUCGAGCGACGUGAUCGCGCGCAUGCGCAGUUCGUCGGUCAUCAUCUUCAGCCGUGUCAGUGACCGCACCCGCGCGAUCAUCACAACAUCGGACACCGGCUUGGUGAGGAAAUCGUCGGCNAUCGUCGGCGCCGGCAUCGAGCCCGCGCACGCGGUCGGAUGGACUGUCGAGUGCGGUCACC
rnacentral:misc_RNA from 1 species